AUAUGAUAUCAUAGUAGAUGCGACCGAUAAUCCUCCAAGCCGUUACAUGAUCAGCGAUUGUUGUGUCCUGUUAGGGAAGCCUUUGGUGUCAGGUGCUGCACUUGGGAUGGACGGGCAGCUUACGGUCUAUAAUCACAACGGAGGCCCGUGCUACCGGUGUCUUUUUCCCACUCCUCCACCUUC